ensembl:lncRNA
CUACUUUUGUGGCUAGGCUUUUAAAUUCCGGAGUUUGAGGGUCUUUCAGUGCUGGAACAAACACCUCUAUAAUGACAAUCUGUAUGGCAACAGUUGGCUGAGGACGUGCUGGUGCUGCUGUUGUGGUUGCUGCUGUUGUUAUUGUGGUUGUUGUUGCUGUUGUUUUAGGAUUGGCAGUAGAUGUUGUUGUUGUUGUUGUUGUUUUUGUUGUUGUUGUUGUUGUUGUUGUGGUUGUGGGUGUUGUUGUUACAGUUGUAUUAGGUUUGGCAGUAGAUGUUGUGGUUGUUGUUGUGGUUGCUGUUGGUGCUGUUGUAUUAGGAUUGACAGUAGAUGUUGUGGUUGCUGUUGAUGCUGUUGUAUUAGGCUUGGCAGUAGAUGUUGUGGUUGCUGUUGUUGAUGAUACUGUUGUAUUAGGAUUGGCAGUAGAUGCUGUGGUUGUUGUUGUUGCUGUUGUAAUAGGAUUGACAAUAGAUGUUGUGGUUGUUGUUGAUGCUGUUGUAUUAGGAUUGGCAGUAGAUGUUGUGGUUGUUGGUGAUGCUGUUGUAUUAGGAUUGACAGUAGAUGUUGUGGUUGCUGUUGAUGCUGUUGUAUUAAGAUUGGCAGUAGAUGUUGUGGUUGCUGGUGAUGCUGUUGUAUUAGGAUUGACAAUAGAUGUUGUGGUUGUUGUUGUUGCUGUUGCUGUUGUUGUAAUAGGAUUGGCAGUAGAUGUUGUGGUUGCUGUUGAUGCUGUUGUAUUAGGAUUGACAGUAGAUGUUGUGGUUGUUGUUGCUAUUGUAAUAGGAUUGACAGUAGAUGUUGUGGUUGCUGUUGAUGCUGUUGUAUUAGGAUUGACAGUAGAUGUUGUGGUUGCUGUUGAUGCUGUUGUAUUCGGAUUGACAUUAGAUGUUGUGGUGGUGGUUGUUGUUGUUGUUGAUGCUGUUGUAUUAGGAUUGACAGUAGAUGUUGUGGUUGCUGGUGAUGCUGUUGUAUUAGGAUUGGCAGUAGAUGUUGUGGUUGUUGUUGUUGCUGCUGCUGUUGUUGUGUUAGGUGUGGUUGUAGUUGUAAUUGUAGUGGAACUGGUUGUAGUGGCUUUGGUAGUUGUGGUGAAGGGCUUCCAUACUGUUGUGUGGGUUUGGUUAUUUUGUAGAAUAUGAAAAAUAAAAAUAAAAGUUGAGAAAAAUACCUUCAGCAAGAUGCAGCAGUGCAACCGCUUUAGUUAAAUAAAAACACAGAACACAUUGUAAAAUCUUUUGUAUUAUAUACUGAUGAUGUUCUUUGUUUGACUUACUUGUUACACUGGUGAUACUGAGAGUGGCAUUAGCUUUCAUAAUAGUGUUUUCUAUCUCAACAUCACUGGGUAAGGUUCCAAAUGUCACAUUCAUA